AGAGUUUGAUCAUGGCUCAGAUUGAACGCUGGCGGAAUGCUUUACACAUGCAAGUCGAACGGGCUUAAGGAGCUUGCUCCUUAAGUUAGUGGCGAACGGGUGAGUAAUAUAUCGGAACGUAUCCAAUAAUGGGGGAUAACUAAUCGAAAGGUUGGCUAAUACCGCAUACGCCCUACGGGGGAAAGCUAGGGACCUUCGGGCCUGGCGUUAAUGGAGCGGCCGAUAUCUGAUUAGCUAGUUGGUGGGGUAAAGGCCCACCAAGGCGACGAUCAGUAGCUGGUCUGAGAGGACGACCAGCCACACUGGAACUGAGACACGGUCCAGACUCCUACGGGAGGCAGCAGUGGGGAAUUUUGGACAAUGGGCGAAAGCCUGAUCCAGCCAUUCCGCGUGAGUGAAGAAGGCCUUCGGGUUGUAAAGCUCUUUCGCAAGGGAAGAACACUUAGUCUCUAACAUAGACUGAGGUUGACGGUACCUUGAUAAGAAGCACCGGCUAACUACGUGCCAGCAGCCGCGGUAAUACGUAGGGUGCGAGCGUUAAUCGGAAUUACUGGGCGUAAAGCGUGCGCAGGCUGUUUUGUAAGUCAGAUGUGAAAUCCCCGGGCUCAACCUGGGAACUGCGUUUGUGACUGGCGGGCUAGAGUGCGGAAGAGGGAGGUGGAAUUCCACGUGUAGCAGUGAAAUGCGUAGAGAUGUGGAGGAACACCGAUGGCGAAGGCAGCCUCCUGGUCUAGCACUGACGCUCAUGCACGAAAGCGUGGGGAGCAAACAGGAUUAGAUACCCUGGUAGUCCACGCCCU
rnacentral:rRNA from 1 species